rnacentral:rRNA from 1 species
UACGUAGGGCGCGAGCGUUGUCCGGAUUUAUUGGGCGUAAAGAGCUCGUAGGCGGCUUGUUGCGUCGGCUGUGAAAACCCGUUGCUUAACUGCGGGCUUGCAGCUGAUACGGGCGGGCUGGAGUUCGGUAGGGGAGACUGGAAUUCCUGGUGUAGCGGUGAAAUGCGCAGAUAUCGGGAGGAACACCAGUGGCGAAGGCGACUACCUGGCCUGUUCUUGACGCUGAGGCGCGAAAGCUAGGGGAGCAAACGGG